rnacentral:rRNA from 1 species
AGACCCGAAACCCGGUGAUCUAGCCAUGGGCAGGUUGAAGGUUGGGUAACACUAACUGGAGGACCGAACCGACUAAUGUUGAAAAAUUAGCGGAUGACCUGUGGCUGGGGGUGAAAGGCCAAUCAAACCGGGAGAUAGCUGGUUCUCCCCGAAAGCUAUUUAGGUAGCGCCUCGUGAAUUCAUCUCCGGGGGUAGAGCACUGUUUCGGCUAGGGGGCCAUCCCGGCUUACCAACCCGAUGCAAACUGCGAAUACCGGAGAAUGUUAUCACGGGAGACACACGGCGGGUGCUAACGUCCGUCGUGAAGAGGGAAACAACCCAGACCGCCAGCUAAGGUCCCAAAGUCAUGGUUAAGUGGGAAACGAUGUGGGAAGGCCCAGACAGCCAGGAUGUUGGCUUAGAAGCAGCCAUCAUUUAAAGAAAGCGUAAUAGCUCACUGGUCGAGUCGGCCUGCGCGGAAGAUGUAACGGGGCUAAACCAUGCACCGAAGCUGCGGCAGCGAACGUAUCACUUAAAGCGAUUCAGCGGGUUACGAUUGACGGAGCGAAGCGACGUCAAAGCGUAUACAAAGUCGAGUCGGUUUAAGGAUACGUUCGUUGGGUAGGGGAGCGUUCUGUAAGCCUGUGAAGGUGGCCUGUGAGGGUUGCUGGAGGUAUCAGAAGUGCGAAUGCUGACAUAAGUAACGAUAAAGCGGGUGA